CCUCUGACUCCGUCUCACUGACCUGUGAGGGAAACUUCACUGAGUGGAGAGUGAGGAAGUUCUCUGAGGACGGCCGACUCUCUGACUGUAGGAGAAUGACUGGAUCCACAUGUAACAUCUACACAUCAGAGUCAGAUACUGCAGUGCACUGGUGUGAGUCUGGAUCAGGAGAGUUCAGCAGUGCAGUCAACAUCACUGUACAGAAUGAUGGUAAUGGUCCUAUCCUGGUGAGUCCUGUUCAUCCUGUGACUGAGGGAGCUUCUGUUAGUCUGAGCUGCAGUUUGAAAACACAAAAAAUACUUUCCAA